ACCUAGCCCCGAUUGCAAUGAAAAUCCUUUUUGCAAAAAAGAUUGCAAUGGAAAGCGGGAAACAGC
rnacentral:sRNA from 1 species